UACGAAGGGUGCUAGCGUUGCUCGGAAUCACUGGGCGUAAAGCGCACGUAGGCGGAUUGUUAAGUCAGGGGUGAAAUCCUGGAGCUCAACUCCAGAACUGCCUUUGAUACUGGUGAUCUCGAGUCCGGGAGAGGUGAGUGGAACUGCGAGUGUAGAGGUGAAAUUCGUAGAUAUUCGCAAGAACACCAGUGGCGAAGGCGGCUCACUGGCCCGGUACUGACGCUGAGACGCGAAAGCGUGGGGAGCAAACAGG
rnacentral:rRNA from 1 species